AUCAUUUUAAAAAAACAGAGCUUCAGAAUUCAAUGAAUAGAUGAUUGAAUGUUCACACUUAUGUGUAAGACGUGCCUCCCUCAAACUUUGUCCUGAAACAAGCACAUUGCCCAUCUGAUA
ensembl:snoRNA